AUCUUAACUAUAGCCAAGGAAAACAAAAUAU
rnacentral:sRNA from 1 species